UCGAGCGAACGGACGAGAAGCUUGCUUCUCUGAUGUUAACGGCGGACGGGUGAGUAACACGUGGAUAACCUACCUAUAAGACUGGGAUAACUUCGGGAAACCGGAGCUAAUACCGGAUAAUAUUUUGAACCGCAUGGUUCAAAGGUGAAAGACGGUCUUGCUGUCACUUAUAGAUGGAUCCGCGCUGCAUUAGCUAGUUGGUAAGGUAACGGCUUACCAAGGCAACGAUGCAUAGCCGACCUGAGAGGGUGAUCGGCCACACUGGAACUGAGACACGGUCCAGACUCCUACGGGAGGCAGCAGUAGGGAAUCUUCCGCAAUGGGCGAAAGCCUGACGGAGCAACGCCGCGUGAGUGAUGAAGGUCUUCGGAUCGUAAAACUCUGUUAUUAGGGAAGAACAUAUGUGUAAGUAACUGUGCACAUCUUGACGGUACCUAAUCAGAAAGCCACGGCUAACUACGUGCCAGCAGCCGCGGUAAUACGUAGGUGGCAAGCGUUAUCCGGAAUUAUUGGGCGUAAAGCGCGCGUAGGCGGUUUUUUAAGUCUGGUGUGAAAGCCCACGGCUCAACCGUGGAGGGUCAUUGGAAACUGGAAAACUUGAGUGCAGAAGAGGAAAGUGGAAUUCCAUGUGUAGCGGUGAAAUGCGCAGAGAUAUGGAGGAACACCAGUGGCGAAGGCGACUUUCUGGUCUGUAACUGACGCUGAUGUGCGAAAGC
rnacentral:rRNA from 1 species